rnacentral:tRNA from 1 species
GAACUUUUAGUUUAAUUUAGAAUUUCUCACUUACAAUGGGGAGGUUAGAAGGUUUU